ACGGGUUAAUAUUCCCGUACUUGGUAUAAUUGCGAUGGGGGGACGGAGCAGGCUAAACAAGCAUGGCGUUGGUUGUCCAUGUGAAAGUAUGUAGGUUGGUGACUUAGGAAAAUCCGGGUUGCUAAGACUGAGAUACGAGACGAGCCACUAAGGUGGUGAAGUUGUUGAUGCCAUACUUCCAGGAAAAGCCUCUAAGCUUCAGAUUAUACCGAAUCGUACCCCAAACCGACACAGGUGGUCAGGUAGAGAAUACUAAGGCGCUUGAGAGAACUCGGGUGAAGGAACUAGGCAAAAUUGUACCGUAACUUCGGGAGAAGGUACGCUCCUAUCUGUGAUGAGAUUUACUCUUUAAGCGGACGGGAGCCGCAGUGACCAGGUGGCUGGGACUGUUUAUUAAAAACACAGCACUGUGCAAAAUCGCAAGAUGACGUAUACGGUGUGACACCUGCCCGGUGCCGGAAGGUUAAUUGAUGGGGUUAGUUUUCGGACGAAGCUCUUGAUCGAAGCCCCGGUAAACGGCGGCCGUAACUAUAACGGUCCUAAGGUAGCGAAAUUCCUUGUCGGGUAAGUUCCGACCUGCACGAAUGGUGUAACCAUGGCCACGCUGUCUCCACCCGAGACUCAGUGAAAUUGAAAUCGCAGUGAAGAUGCUGUGUACCCGCGGCUAGACGGAAAGACCCCGUGAACCUUUACUACAGCUUGGCACUGAACAUUGACCCUACAUGUGUAGGAUAGGUGGGAGGCUUUGAAGCAGAAACGCUAGUUUUUGUGGAGCCGUCCUUGAAAUACCACCCUUGUAGUGUUGAUGUUCUAACGUUGGCCCCUAAUCGGGGUUACGGACAGUGCCUGGUGGGUAGUUUGACUGGGGCGGUCUCCUCCCAAAGAGUAACGGAGGAGCACGAAGGUUGGCUAAGUACGGUCGGACAUCGUACGGUUAGUGUAAUGGUAGAAGCCAGCUUAACUGCGAGACAGACACGUCGAGCAGGUACGAAAGUAGGUCAUAGUGAUCCGGUGGUUCUGAAUGGAAGGGCCAUCGCUCAACGGAUAAAAGGUACUCCGGGGAUAACAGGCUGAUACCGCCCAAGAGUUCAUAUCGACGGCGGUGUUUGGCACCUCGAUGUCGGCUCAUCACAUCCUGGGGCUGAAGUCGGUCCCAAGGGUAUGGCUGUUCGCCAUUUAAAGUGGUACGCGAGCUGGGUUUAGAACGUCGUGAGACAGUUCGGUCCCUAUCUGCCGUGGGCGUUUGAGAAUUGAGAGGGGUUGCUCCUAGUACGAGAGGACCGGAGUGAACGAACCGCUGGUGUUCGGGUUGUCAUGCCAAUGGCAUUGCCCGGUAGCUACGUUCGGAACUGAUAAGCGCUGAAAGCAUCUAAGCGCGAAGCAGGCCUCGAGAUGAGUUCUCACUAGACUUUUAAAGUCUCUGAAGGGCCGUUGAAGACUACAACGUUGAUAGGCAGGAUGUGGAAGUGGUGUGAGCCAUUAAGCUAACCUGUACUAAUUACCCGUGAGGCUUAACCAUACAACGCCAAACGCGUUU
rnacentral:rRNA from 1 species